GAUGAACGCUGGCGGCGUGCCUAAUACAUGCAAGUCGAGCGAACAGACGCGGAGCUUGCGGCGCUGACGUUAGCGGCGGACGGGUGAGUCACGCGUGGAUCACCUACCUAUCAGAGUGGGAUAACUUCGGGACACCGGAGCUAAUACCGGAGGAUCUAUUGCAGCGCGGGGGGCGAUGGUGAGAGACGGCUGUGGGGUCACUUAUAGCUGGUUCCCCGCCGCAUGAGCUAGUUGGGCGGCUAAAGGCUUACGAAGGCGACGAUGCGUAGCCGACCUGUGAGGGUGGUAGGCCACACUGGAAGUUGGACAGCCUCCAUAGGCCUACGGGAGGUCGCAGUCGCCAACCUGCCGCAGUGGGCGGAAGCCUGACGGAGCGACGCCGCGUGAGUGAUGAAGGUCUUCGGUUCGUAAAACUCUGUUAUUAGGGGAGAACAACUUUGGCAGUAGCUGUGCCCGGCUUGACGGUACCUAAUCAGAAAGCCCCGGCUAACUACGUG
rnacentral:rRNA from 1 species